CCUUCGAUAGCUCAGUUGGGAGAGCGGAGGACUGUAGAUCCUUAGGUCGCUGGUUCAAAUCCGGCUCGAAGGA
rnacentral:tRNA from 1 species